GAUGAGCGCUGGCGGCGUGCCUAAUACAUGCAAGUCGAGCGAACAGACGAGGAGCUUGCUCCUUCGACGUUAGCGGCGGACGGGUGAGUAACACGUAGGUAACCUACCUAUAAGACUGGGAUAACUUCGGGAAACCGGAGCUAAUACCGGAUAAUAUUUCGAACCGCAUGGUUCGAUAGUGAAAGAUGGCUUUGCUAUCACUUAUAGAUGGACCUGCGCCGUAUUAGCUAGUUGGUAAGGUAACGGCUUACCAAGGCAACGAUACGUAGCCGACCUGAGAGGGUGGUCGGCCACACUGGAACUGAGACACGGUCCAGACUCCGACGGGAGGCAGCAGUAGGGAAUCUUACGCGAUGGGCGAGAGCCUGACGGAGCAACGCCGCGUGAGUGAUGAUGGUCUUCGGAUCGUAAAACUCUGUUAUUAGGGAAGAACAAACGUGUAAGUAACUGUGCACGUCUUGACGGUACCUGAUCAGAAAGCCACGGCUAACUACGUG
rnacentral:rRNA from 1 species